rnacentral:rRNA from 1 species
UACGAAGGGUGCAAGCGUUGUUCGGAAUUACUGGGCGUAAAGAGCGCGUAGGCGGUCUAUUAAGUCAGGCGUGAAAGUCCCGGGCUCAACCUGGGAAUUGCGCUUGAUACUGGUAGGCUUGAGAUUCAGAGAGGUGAGUGGAAUUCCUAGUGUAGCAGUGAAAUGCGUAGAUAUUAGGAGGAACAUCAGUGGCGAAGGCGGCUCACUGGCUGAAUACUGACGCUAAGGCGCGAAAGCGUGGGGAGCAAACAGG